CGGACACAACGAAGUCAAAUGUAUAACGAAGACAGAAAAGACGACGAAAAUAACGCACCUCACCGGCUCUUUCUGUUGACUCUCGUGACGUCAUCACGUCGCAGAGAGAGGAGACUGGAUGGCGCUUCCUCUUUUAACUGAAAGAGGACUUGCUGCCAACUGUCAUGAAGAGACUGGAUGGAGCUUCCUCUUUUAACUGAAAGGAAUUGCUGCCGACUGUCACGAAGAGACUGGAUGGCGCUACCUCUUUUAACUGAAAGUAUAUUUUCCAGGAUCUGUAUUGAUGCCGCCUCUCCCUGGCUUGGUUUUUGAAGUUCACCAUCUCGCGCUGGAAGGAUGCUGUGGAGUUUCUCGGGCGUCUCCCACCCCAAGCCUGACUAUCUGCACACUGACCAGGAGGCCGAUCAAGAGACGUCUGUGUUUUACUAACGAACUAAUUUGUGAUUUCAAAUGACGCCGUCGCUAUAAAAAACAACCUCGUCCUGCUAUUUCAUAUCGUGUGCUGACGUGCAUGAGAGACGGUGAUGAGUUGCACCAUUAGUCGGGGUCUCUGAUUGCAGUAGCGCGGCGGUCCCGACGACCUGCGGUGACUUGCAUUGUGCACCGGGGACCGUCUGAGUUACCGCCCAGCUGUCGCCCGGAGACGUUGGCAGGAAGAGCGAUCGUAGACACGGAGGAGAACAGGAAGUGCCUCGCCAGUCGCUGGUUUCCUUCCCUAAUGGGUGGAAGACCUCCGACCCCCACGGCUGGUGAACUCUGAAGACUCUCAUCCAGCGCCACAGCAGACGCCACCGGAGUUGAGCUGGACCGUCACCUGCUGUACAUCCCGAGCUGCAGCAGGGUGACCUGGAUCCACACCAAGCGGUUUGUUCUCUCUGGGCAGGACGCAACAAGCCACUGGAAAUAACUUGUUGGAGGACAUCGCCGUCCCUCCACCCGAGAGGAACUUUAGCGUUGGGAAAAGUUCAAGGGGAAAAAUACACGAUUGCUAUUGAGCUGUACUUGUUGGAGCUGGUUUUCUUUGCACACAACGGGAGAAGCAAUUUGCAUUAUUGAGACCGUUAAAAACGUAUCUUCCCAUAAAUGUCUGUUCUCACUCCGAUGGACGUGGCGGGCGCCGAUGUUGCAGUAGCGUGUCGUUCACGGCACGGGCGUCGACCACCGCUGCGACCUCACGCCGCUGCGUUGUGGGCCGACUGCCGGUGAGCAACACAGGGGGCAGUCUGGAUUCAUCCUCAAUUAAUUAAUCCACUCACUCGCCGUAGUAAAUAUGCGCAGACGCUAUCGUGUCUGCGCGCGAUAGUCCCCCGUGGUCGCGGCCGGCCGCUCGGUAAUCCCUCUGAGUCGGGGCGCGGGCGUCCAUCACGGCGACGGCUUCAGCUGGGCCCGUUUCCUCCGAGGUGACGGUGGAUUCCUCAUGAAGGGAUUUCGGUUUGCUUUGCUUCAUCAGAGGUUCUCUGGUUCUGUCAGCGGCCGGGCCCGGGCUGGUGCUGUCGGGUUCAAUGUGCUGAAAACCAGAUUGGGAGUGUUUCUAUUGCCUCAAUGUGGAGUCAUGGGUGUAGUAGUCUUAAUGAACACUUGGGUGUAGUAGUCUUGAUGAACACUUGGGUGUAGUAGUCUUAAUGAACACUUGGGUGUAGUAGGUGUACUGUUUUCAUUUCACUAAAUAAACAUUUACAAAUUCAG